rnacentral:rRNA from 1 species
UUCCCCUAGUAACGGCGAGUGAAGCGGGAACAGCUCAAAUUUGAAAUCUCACUGGUUUCCAGUGCGAAUUGUAGUUUAGAGAAGCGUUUUCGGGGGCAGCUUUGGGUACAAGUUCUUUGGAACAAGGCAUCACAGAGGGUGAAAAUCCCGUCUUUGACCCAAGGUCUGUCUCUAUAUGAUACGUUUUCCAAGAGUCGGUUUGUUUGGGAAUGCAGACCAAAAUGGGUGGUAAAUAUCAUCUAAAGCUAAAUAUUGGCGAGAGACCGAUAGCGAACAAGUACCGUGAGGGAAAGAUGAAAAGAACUUUGAAAAGAGAGUUAAACAGUACGUGAAAUUGUCAAAAGGGAAACGCUUGAAACCAGUAUUGCCGGCCGGAAUUCAGCUAUGGUUUACUAUGGUGUAUUUUUCGGUCGGCGAGUCAACAUCAGUUUGACUUGGAGUAAAAAGCCAAGAGAAUGUGGCCUUCGGGUGUUAUAGCUCUUGGUCAUGCUCUAGGUCAGACUGAGGACUGCAGCUUCGGCUUAGGAUGUUGACGAAAUGGUUUUAAACGACCCGUCUUGAAACACGGACCAAGGAGUCUAACAUAUGUGCGAGUAUUUGGGUGGUAAACCCUUAUGCGUAAUGAAAGUGAAAAGGUGGGAUUCUUCACGGAUGCACCAUCGACCGCGCCAGAUUAUUACUAUCUCGGCGUGAGUAUGAGCAUAUAUGCUGGGACCCGAAAGAUGGUGAACUAUACCUGAAUAGGGUGAAGCCAGAGGAAACUCUGGUGGAGGCUCGUAGCGGUUCUGACGUGCAAAUCGAUCGUCAAAUUUGGGUAUAGGGGCGAAAG